rnacentral:rRNA from 1 species
GAGUAUGUCUGGGAACUGCCUGAUGGAGGGGGAUAACUACUGGAAACGGUAGCUAAUACCGCAUAACGUCGCAAGACCAAAGAGGGGGACCUUCGGGCCUCUUGCCAUCGGAUGUGCCCAGAUGGGAUUAGCUAGUAGGUGGGGUAACGGCUCACCUAGGCGACGAUCCCUAGCUGGUCUGAGAGGAUGACCAGCCACACUGGAACUGAGACACGGUCCAGACUCCUACGGGAGGCAGCAGUGGGGAAUAUUGCACAAUGGGCGCAAGCCUGAUGCAGCCAUGCCGCGUGUAUGAAGAAGGCCUUCGGGUUGUAAAGUACUUUCAGCGGGGAGGAAGGGAGUAAAGUUAAUACCUUUGCUCAUUGACGUUACCCGCAGAAGAAGCACCGGCUAACUCCGUGCCAGCAGCCGCGGUAAUACGGAGGGUGCAAGCGUUAAUCGGAAUUACUGGGCGUAAAGCGCACGCAGGCGGUUUGUUAAGUCAGAUGUGAAA